GAUGAACGCUGGCGGCGUGCAUAACACACUCAAGUCGAACGGUGACGGGGCUUCGGCCCCUGAUCAGUGGCGGACGGGUGAGUAACGCGUGAGUAACCUGCCUAUGCGUGUGGAAUAACACAGGGAAACUUGUGCUAAUACCGCAUAAUAUGUAUUAUUCGCAUGUAAGAUACAUCAAAGAGCAAUUGCGCAUAGAUGGACUCGCGUCUGAUUAGAUAGUUGGUGGGGUAACGGCCUACCAAGUCGACGAUCAGUAGCCGAACUGAGAGGUUGAACGGCCACAUUGGAACUGAGAAACGGUCCAGACUCCUACGGGGAGGCAGCAGUGGGGAAUAUUGGGCAAUGGACGAAAGUCUGACCCAGCGACGCCGCGUGAGGGAAGAAGGUCUUCGGAUUGUAAACCUCUGUUGUAAGGGAAGAAGAAAGUGACGGUACCUUACGAGGAAGCCACGGCUAACUACGUGCCAGCAGCCG
rnacentral:rRNA from 1 species